ACCAACUCAACCAUCACCGCCACGCCACCCCACCCCCCCAUCACGUCCGUCACCUCACCACCACCACGCCCAUAUCCCACAAAAUCCGCUACCUACACCCCUCUUCUCCUUCCUCACACUCCAUCUCUAAAGCUUGCAGGCUCCAUGUGCAAUUUUAGCAGAUUUCAUGGGUAAGUCCCAUCACCCCUUUCACCGUCUCAUCUGUUGAAAACGUCCAUUUUUCCCCCCUCUUUAAUUCGAAAUUUAAAGGAAAAAGCCUCUGGAGGAAGUUGUUGAAACCCCCUCAGUGUUUACCUAUAAAUACAGGCCUUCCUGGGCUGUUUUAGAUAAGGUUCAAGUGUUGAAAAUCCCUCUUGAAUAACUCAAAAAAAAAAUCAUCUGUUUUCAUCAAGCUUUUCAUAAAAAAAAAAAUCUUUUUUUUUACUCUAAGUUGCUGGUCUCAAAAAAUUCUCUUUUAACUCUAAUUUUGUUUUGUCGAAUUCUUGGUGGUUCUCGGCUAAACGAGCUCUUCAAGAGGAUUCGGAGACCCGACGAUGACAUUAGCCUCAGUUCGCUGUCCCGGAGAAGUUAUGGCAACUCCGGAUUUUGCCCAUAUCAGAGAACACCCGGUUGCAAGAUUUAAUUGCUCGUGUCUAGCGCCCCCGUCUUCCUUCCUCUCUUUAAAUUUCGUGUCUUCGUGUUAUCAUGUAUAUACAUGUUUAUAUUCUUGACUAACAUUUUUUAUGGAUUGUAUUUGUAGCACAUUUGUUUCUCGCUUGUGUAGGAACUUAUGGAAACAAUAGUUAAGUAUGAUGGUAAAUUUAGUCACUA